CCUACGGGAGGCAGCAGUAGGGAAUAUUGCUCAAUGGGGGAAACCCUGAAGCAGCAACGCCGCGUGGGGGAUGAAGGUUUUCGGAUUGUAAACUCCUUUUUUUAGAGAAGAUAAUGACGUUAUCUAACGAAUAAUCACCGGCUAACUCCGUGCCAGCAGCCGCGGUAAUACGGAGGGUGCAAGCGUUACUCGGAAUCACUGGGCGUAAAGAGCGCGGAGGCGGGAUAGCAAGUCAGAUGUGAAAUCCUAUGGCUUAACCAUAGAACUGCAUUUGAAACUGUUAUUCUAGAGUAUGGGAGAGGUAGGUGGAAUUCUUGGUGUAGGGGUAAAAUCCGUAGAGAUCAAGAGGAAUACUCAUUGCGAAGGCGACCUGCUGGAACAUAACUGACGCUGAUGCGCGAAAGCGUGGGGAGCAAACAGGAUUAGAUACCCCGGUAGUC
rnacentral:rRNA from 1 species